CCAAAACCCUUUUGGAUUUGAGAGAGAGAAAGAGAGAGAGAGAGAGCCGCGGCAAUGGAGAAACUCUCCAUCUCGAUACUUCUAACGAUCUCCCUGCUCCCCUUUCUCUGCUCCUCAUUCUCACCGGAAUCCCCAACCGAUCGCCGCAUUCUUGUCUUGCUCGACGACUUCUCUUUCAAAUCCUCCCACUCCAUUUUCUUCAACUCACUUAAGUCUCGUGGAUUCGACCUCGAUUUCAAGCUCGCCGACGAUCCCAAGCUCGCACUUCAGAGAUAUGGGCAGUACUUGUACGAUGGCUUGGUUCUCUUCUCUCCUUCGGUUGAGAGAUUUGGAGGUGCAUUGGAUUUAGCAGCUGUGCUUGACUUCGUUGACUCGGGCCAUNGACUUGAUUGUAGCCGCUGAUGCUUCUGCGUCUGAUUUGAUUAAGAGCAUCGCCACCGAAUGUGGAGUUGAUUUUGAUGAGGAUCCGUCGGCUAUGGUCAUCGAUCACAAAAACUAUGCGGUCUCGGAGAUCGAGGGUGAUCACACGUUGAUUGCUGCAGAUGAUUU
rnacentral:misc_RNA from 1 species